rfam:Anolis carolinensis chromosome Tnknown cont2.39704, whole genome shotgun sequence.
UUGCUCUUGCUUCAACAGUGCUUGAACGGAGCAG